UACGUAGGCAGCAAGCGUUGUUCGGAAUUACUGGGCGUAAAGAGUGUGUAGGCGGUGCUCUAAGUUCGUUGUGAAAUCUCCCGGCUUAACUGGGAGGGUGCGGCGGAAACUGGAGUGCUUGAGCGCGGGAGAGAAAAGCGGAAUUCCACGUGUAGCGGUGAAAUGCGUAGAGAUGUGGAGGAACACCAGUGGCGAAGGCGGCUUUUUGGUCUGUAACUGACGCUGAGGCGCGAAAGCGUGGGGAGCAAACAGG
rnacentral:rRNA from 1 species